UACGUAGGGUGCGAGCGUUGUCCGGAAUUAUUGGGCGUAAAGGGCUCGUAGGCGGUCUGUCACGUCGAAAGUGAAAACUCAGGGCUCAACCCUGAGCCUGCUUCCGAUACGGGCAGACUAGAGGUAUGCAGGGGAGAAUGGAAUUCCUGGUGUAGCGGUGAAAUGCGCAGAUAUCGGGAAGAACACCCGUGGCGAAGGCGGCUCUCUGGGACGGUACUGACGCUGAGACGCGAAAGCGUGGGGAGCGAACAGG
rnacentral:rRNA from 1 species